rnacentral:rRNA from 1 species
GUCUACGGCCAUGCCACCCCAAACAAGCUUGAUCCUGUCUGAUCUCGGAAGCUAAGUAGAGUCAGGCCUGGUUAGUACUUGAAUGGAAUACCACCUAGGAAGACCAGGUGCUGUAGGCG